rnacentral:rRNA from 3 species
AUGAAGAACGUAGCGAAAUGCGAUACUUGGUGUGAAUUGCAGAAUCCCGUGAACCAUCGAGUCUUUGAACGCAAGUUGCGCCUGAGGCCAUUAGGCCGAGGGCACGCCUGCAUGGGCGUCACGC